UGGGGAAUAUUGGACAAUGGGCGCAAGCCUGAUCCAGCCAUGCCGCGUGGGUGAUGAAGGCCUUAGGGUUGUAAAGCCCUUUCGGCGGGGAAGAUAAUGACGGUACCUGCAGAAGAAGCCCCGGCUAACUUCGUGCCAGCAGCCGCGGUAAUACGAAGGGGGCUAGCGUUGCUCGGAAUCACUGGGCGUAAAGCGCACGUAGGCGGCUUUUUAAGUCAGGGGUGAAAUCCUGGAGCUCAACUCCAGAACUGCCUUUGAUACUGGAGAGCUUGAGUCCGGGAGAGGUGAGUGGAACUGCGAGUGUAGGGGUGAAAUUCGUAGAUAUUCGCAAGAACACCAGUGGCGAAGGCGGCUCACUGGCCCGGUACUGACGCUGGGGUGCGAAAGCGUGGGGAGCAAACAGG
rnacentral:rRNA from 1 species